UUGUAUAAACUUAAUAAAGAGCUGCGCCAUGAGCGCAUGAUACGCCCGUCGUUCGCCAAUGAAGUAGUAAGGUAAUAAAUAACCCUUUGAAUCAUUUUUUUACUUCAGUUUAUUUGUAUUUGAAUACAUGGUUUAUUUUAUAAGUACAUGAGCAUGGAGCGCCGUCUCCUUGACAUUCAACAAAGUCCCAUAACUCUGGAACAACAAUUCAGAA